UCAGGCAGCAUCUGUGGGGAUAGUAAAUGACCUGGGGUUGAUGGUCAGUUCUAAUGAAAGGUGGAGAAACAAAGGACUGCAGAUGCUGGAAUCUAGAUGAAACAACAACAAGAUGUUGGAGGAACUCAGCAGGUCAGGCAGCAUCUCUGGAGAAAAGCAGGCGGUCAACGUUUCGGUUACCCUCUAGGCAGGUGGUAGUUAAAAGUCAACCGCAUUGGUGGAUCUGAGGUGUCAUCCGUUCCAAACCUGAUGCCACAGCCAAGAAAGCUCACAAGCGCCUCUACUUCCUCAGGAGGCUAAAGAAAUUCAGCAUGUUCCCAUCGACCCUCAUGAAUUUUUAUCGAUGCACCAUAGAAAGCAUCCUAUCUGGAUACAUCACGGCUUAGUACAGCAACUGCUCUACCCAUGACCGCAAGAAACUGCAGAGAGUUGUGGACACAGCUCAGCACAUCACAGAAAACAGCCUCCCCUCCAUGGACUCUGUCUACACUUCUCGCUGCUUGGUAAAGCAACCAACAGAAUCAAAGACCAAAUCCACCCUGGACAUUCUCUCUUCUCCCCCCUCCCAUCAGGCAGAAGAUACAAAAGCCUGAAAGCACAUACCACUAAGCUCAAGAACAGCUUCUAUUCCGCUGUUAUAAGAUUAUUGAACAGUCCCCUAGUAUGAUAAAAUGGACUCUCAAACUCACAAUCUACCUUGUUAUGACCUUGCACCUUAUUGUCUGCCUGCACUGCACUUUCUCUGCAGCUGUUACACUUGAUUCUGCAUUCUGUUAUUGUUUUACCAUGUACUACCUCAAUGCACUGUGUAAUGAAUUGAUAUGUUUGAACAGUAUGCAAGACAAGCUUUGAUGCAGCACCUUAUCAAAUGCCUUCUGGAAAUCCAGUUACAGUACUGGGUUCCUUUUUAUCCAUAGCAUGUGUUACUUCCUCGAAGACCCUCAGUAAAUUGAUCAAAUAGCUGUAAGGAGAGGCUUGACAAACUUGGGUUAUUUCCCCUAGAGUGCUGGAGUUUGAGGGGAGACAUGAUAGAAGUUUAUAAAAUUGCGAGAGGCAUAGAGCCAGAAUCUUUCUCCCAGAAACAUUGAAUACUAGAAGGCAUAAAUUUAAGGUGAGACAGGGAAAGUUUAAAGGGGAUGUGUGGGGCAAGAUUUUUUACACAGUGAGUGGUAGGUGCCAGGAACAUGCUGCCAGGGGCGGUGGUGGAAGCAGAUACAAUAAUGGCAUUCAAGAGGCUAUAAGACAGGCACGUGAAUAUGGAGGGAAUGGGGGGAUAUGGAUUGUCGUCAUCGUGGUUAUCCCUCGAGGUCGAGGAUGAUGGUCUUUGUUCCGUUAAUCUAUUUAUAGGCUCUCAAGUGGCUUAUGAGUCCAAUCUUGGCUCAAGUAUUCACCACUUUCAUGCCGGUUCUUGACUAGGAGCUUCCAACCAUCACAUUGCCUGCUCCCAUCGCCCUCCCCCAAUCGCCAAAAGACUUGAGAAGUAGCCCACAGAGUGAAGACACCUGUGCGUGUAUUUGUUUAAGGUGUACUUGAUGUUGCACUACAAAAAGCACACGAUACUUCACAAAUCAACCAACUGAUUCCAAUGGCAUGGAAACCACGACGAUUGGAGCUGAUGGAUUUGUUGCAGCCUUCAUCCGCCUUCACAGCCGUUGAGUUCAAAAUAACUUUGUCCGCCUGUUCCACCGUUGAGGUCUUCGUUGGAUUGUUCUUUGUCAGGGACCUCACCAUCGACCUCACCGCCAUGGGUGACCCUACCAGGUGGCAUCGCUCUCGGGAUCUCAGGACCACACCAGCUUCUCCACCACGACAAGGUGACAAUCCAUGGAGAAGAUUGUCUCAUAUGGAUCAUGUGCAGGCUGAAGGGAUUAUUAAUUUGGCAUCAUGGUCAGCGCAGACAUGGUGGGCCAAAGGGCCUGUUCUGUACUGUUCUGUCUUCUAUGUUCUAAUAUGAUUUUGAUUUCAUGAUCCACGUUGAUGUACCUGAUGACCUUGAAUUUUCCUACAUGUCCUGCUGCAGUAGAACUCCAAUUAUCCACAAUUCAACGACACAGAAGUAUUGGCUCACCAGGUGAUAUUUGCUGCGAUCUCUAUCCACUCACUGGCCCCAGUUCUCAUUUUCCUUCCCACUCCUUUUCAACAUUUCUGGUUCACUGGAAAAUUUAUUAUAAUACAAUGUAACAUCUAUAAAGUGUGAAAUAAAAGUACAUUGAGAGGUACAGCACAGAAAAAGGCCCUUCGGCCCACUGAGUCCAUGCCGACCAUCAACCAUCCAUUUACACUAAUCCUACACUAAUGCCAUUUUAUAUUCUUCCCACAUUCUCAUCCACUCCCCCCCAGAUUCUACCAUUCACCCGCACAGUUGCAGCAAUUUUUUUACAGUGGCCAACUAACCUUACCAACCUGCACGUUUUUGGAUGUGGGAGCACACCAGGGCACCGGGAGGAACUCAUGUGGUCAGAAGGAGAACUCUACACGGACAGCACCCGAGGUCGGGAUCGAACCCGGGUCUCCGGCACAGUGAGGCAGUGGCUCUACCAGUUGCACCACUGUGCCCCCUUGAAUGGUUUUAAUAGAGAUAACAUCCAAUAGUCCAUGAAAUCUGCCAGUCCAGCACACCAAAGCCCCAAGUGGACUGGAUUAUCAGGGUGUUACUGUAUAAUGUCUUUAAUAACAGCUUUGAACACUUUGCCUAUGACACAUGUUAAGGUAACUAGCCUGCAGGUUCCUGCUUUCUGCACCCCUCCCACUUUGAAUAAGGAGAUUAGAAAUACAAACUUUUCUUUUAUUUGAAUGCGCAGUAACGUAAGAAGCUGCAGAGAGUAGUGGAUUCUGCCCAAUACAUCACGGGCACAUCCCUCCCCACCAUCGGUGGUAUCUACAGGAGGCGCUGCCUCAAGAAGGCAACACCCAUCAUCAAAGAUCCCCACCAUCCGGGCCAUGCCAUCUUCUCGCAGCUGCCUUCGGGCAGAAGCUUGAAGUCCCACACCACCAGGUUCAAGAACAGCUGCUUCCCUUCAACCAUUUGGUUCUUGGACCACCUGGCACAACCCUAAUCACUACAGUUUAGCAACACUGUGACCGCUUUGAUCACCUUGCACUAAAAUUGACUUUUUGUUGUUCUAAUUGUGUCCUUUCUUGUAAAAAAUUAUGUAUAAUUUAUGUUUAAUUUAUGCUUUUAUUGUGAAUGUUGUGUCUAAUGCUAUGUGAUUCUGCUGCAAGUAAGUUUUUCAUUGUACCUGUGCACACAUGUACUGGUGCACAUGACAAUAAACUUGACUUUGACUUCAACAGUGAUAGAUGACGGGCUAUUCAAGGAUGGAAGGCAACAGUAGUCACAAUAGUCUAAAGGAUCGAACUAACUGAGAGAGUGGUGAGAGACAGAACCAGCAACCCCUGUGUCAAAGUGGGCAGCACAUCUACAUAUAAAGCAGUACAGGAGCAAAGUCUAUCGAGCGACCCUUUAUAUUUGAAGUCACUCUGUUGCGAGCAGGUGCUUAGUUAGGCAAGAUCUGUGCGGAGGAGGGAGCCAGGUGUGUGCCACCAAUGCAAUAGCUUUAUGAUCCUAAAAACAGGGCUUGAAACCUGAUCGCCCGCUCUGUGAGGACUUUUGAUUGCACAGAGGUUAGAUUAUGUUUCAAUAUCCUUCGUUUAGUCUCGGGAACAUGAAAUAAAGCGUCAAUUUUUUCAUACCUUAAUCUCGAGUCAGACCACUUCUUAGGCAUGGUU